UACGAAGGGGGCUAGCGUUGUUCGGAAUUACUGGGCGUAAAGGGCUCGUAGGUGGCCAACUAAGUCGGACGUGAAAUCCCUCGGCUUAACCGGGGAACUGCGUCCGAUACUGGUUGGCUUGAGUUUGGGAGAGGGAUGCGGAAUUCCAGGUGUAGCGGUGAAAUGCGUAGAUAUCUGAAGGAACAUCAGUGGCGAAAGCGACUUCCUGGACCAGAACUGACGAUCAGGCACGAAAGCGUGGGGAGCAAACAGG
rnacentral:rRNA from 1 species